rnacentral:misc_RNA from 1 species
ACCAAGGCAUCUGAGCAU